GAUGAACGCUGGCGGCGUGCCUAAUACAUGCAAGUCGAGCGAACAGAUGAGGAGCUUGCUCCUCUGACGUUAGCGGCGGACGGGUGAGUAACACGUGGAUAACCUACCUAUAAGACUGGGAUAACUUCGGGAAACCGGAGCUAAUACCGGAUAAUAUAUUGAACCGCAUGGUUCAAUAGUGAAAGACGGUUUUGCUGUCACUUAUAGAUGGAUCCGCGCCGCAUUAGCUAGUUGGUAAGGUAACGGCUUACCAAGGCAACGAUGCGUAGCCGACCUGAGAGGGUGAUCGGCCACACUGGAACUCAGACACGGUCCAGACUCCUACGGGAGGCAGCAGUAGGGAAUCUUCCGCAAUGGGCGAAAGCCUGACGGAGCAACGCCGCGUGAGUGAUGAAGGUCUUCGGAUCGUAAAACUCUGUUAUUAGGGAAGAACAAAUGUGUAAGUAACUAUGCACGUCUUGACGGUACCUAAUCAGAAAGCCACGGCUAACUACGUG
rnacentral:rRNA from 1 species